rnacentral:lncRNA from 1 species
GCCUGCACCCAGGUGAAAUAAACAGCCUUGUUGCUCACACAAAGCCUGUUUGGUGUUCUCUUCACGCGGAUGUGACAGACAUCUGGUGCCGAAGACCCGGGUCAGAGGGACUCCUUCAGGAGACCAGUCCCCUGUCCUCACCCUCACUCCAUGAAGAGAUCCACCUAUGUAUGACCCUGGGUCCUCAGACCAACCAGCCCAAGGAACAUCUCACCAAUUUCAAAUUGGAUCUUCUCGGCUCAGUGGCUGAAGACUGACGUUGCCUGAUCACCUCGGAAGCCUCCUGGACCAUCACAGACGCUUUGGGUAACUCUUACAGUGGAGGGAUACAAUUGAAGACACUGGUUAUUUUACCAAGGCUUUGAUUGGAAUGGCUUACUUUCAGAUAUAAAUCAACUGCUUUAAGGAAUCAAAGUUGACUUACAGAGUCAUAAAAGCCCCUUGGGAAAGCUGGCCUCAUGCCUUUCCACACAGUUCCUGUACAGUUUCCUGACGUGUGUUAUGCUGUGCUUUCUUAAAACCCUGUGAACUGAAGCUACACAACUUAAACUUCAGAAGAAAAUAACAGCAACCUAUAUGCCAGCCUACUGAUGUAUGAACUUCAGAGAAAAAUGGCUCUAUCUUUUCAUUUGUUUGUUGUUUUCUUUCUUUCUGUCCCUAUUUUCUGUUUGUAGAACAUGAUACUUUACAACCUGCUAAAAAUGAGCUUUUCUAAUAAUGUGAGACCUACCUGUCUAGAAUAGAUCAUCCUAGCUAUAAGUGAUCAGAAAAACCUGAGACUGGAGACUCAUUUUCUUCUAAAAUGCUCUUUCUGAAAGAUUUUAAAAAGAAACAGAAAAAAUGUGAAAGGAAAAUAAA